rnacentral:rRNA from 1 species
AUUGAACGCUGGCGGCAUGCUUUACACAUGCAAGUCGAACGGCAACGGGGGCCUCGGCCUGGCGGCGAGUGGCACGCGGGAGAGUAAUGCAUCGGCACGUGCCCAGGAGGGGGGGAUAGACCCGCGAGAGCAGGAUAUAUCCCGCACACGAUCUGGGGGAGAAAGGGGGGGCGCAAAACGCCGCGCGAUAUUGGCGGGGGCGAUGUCGGAUUAGCUAGUUGGUGGGGUAAAGGCUUACCAAGGCGACGAUCUGUAGCUGGUCUGAGAGGACGACCAGCCACACUGGGACUGAGACACGGCCCAGACUCCUACGGGAGGCAGCAGUGGGGAAUUUUGGACAAUGGGGGCAACCCUGAUCCAGCCAUGCCGCGUGCGGGAAGAAGGCCUUCGGGUUGUAAACCGCUUUUGUUCGGGAAGAAAUCCUCUGGGCUAAUACCCCGGGGGGAUGACGGUACCGGAAGAAUAAGCACCGGCUAACUACGUG